rnacentral:rRNA from 1 species
AUUGAACGCUGGCGGCAGGCCUAACACAUGCAAGUCGAACGAGUGGCGGACGGGUGAGUAAUGUCUGGGAAACUGCCCGAUGGAGGGGGAUAACUACUGGAAACGGUAGCUAAUACCGCAUACCAUCGGAUGUGCCCAGAUGGGAUUAGCUAGGGGGGGGGGUAACGGCUCACCUGGGCGACGAUCCCUAGCUGGUCUGCGAGGAUGACCGGCCACACGGGAACUGAUAACCGGCCCAGAUCCCUACGGGGGGCAGCAGUGGGGAAUCUUGCACAAUGGACGCAAGCCUGAUACAGCCAUGCCGCGUGAAUGAAGAAGGCUUUCGGAUUGUAAAGUACUUUCGUCAAGGAAGCGUUAUUCGCAGAAGAAGCACCGGCUAACUCCGUGCCAGCAGCCGCGGUAAUAC